GAAACUCGUCAGAAAGUCCCCUCCUUUACGAAUCUCCUCCAGCAAGUCAGCAUCAGCAAGACACACCCCGAGUCCCGAACCCCCAAACCCUCAGACGAUCAGUGACGACCCCUGGCAGCACUGAAGUCACGAAACUGGACUAGAAAUGCUGUAAUCUCAUCAGAAAAUGCUGCUUCCGGUGGUGUUUUCAACCCAGGAACAGAAGCAAAAGUGUCUGGAAUCACUGGAGAAAGCCCCAGGUCUCCCGAGAGCCGUUCUCAACUUCUCCUUGGCGCGGAGCACGGAUCAGUGAUCAGGCAGUGAACGCGGCAGAUGUUGAGGGUGUUAGGGGGAGGCGAGGCAGAUACCUGAGACUCCGCAGCUUGCCUGCCCUCCGCCUCCGUGUCUCAGAUCGCCGAAUUAAAACAGCGCUGCUCGCCACCUGCCUGAGGUCACACAGCCCGACAGAGGCCUGGGUGCAGACAAUCCAAGCCAGUUAGUGCCAGGCCCUGCCUCCCAGGCUGCUUCGUUAUUCCACUGACAUUACCCAAAUACUACGGCAGGCUGCGAUACCUUAAAAAAAAAUCACCAGCAGCUAAGAGACCCAGGCAGACAGCAUACGCCAGCCGUUGUUUCGUGUGCUGUUUCAGCCCAGCGUGUAUUUUUUCCCACCCUCCCAGAUGAAAAUACAGUAAUUAACUCCAUGCAGUGGGGGAUGGGGGAGGGAUUUCUUUUUUUUUUCCCCUCCCUAGACUUGAAAAGAAAUUCUGGCAGAUAAUUUGGCUGAACAUGAAAAGGGAGAGGCUGCUUACAGCCGUCCAAAUAAAGUGCUAGGUUGGUGAAGCUCCA